UUUAUUGGAGAGUUUGAUCCUGGCUCAGGAUGAACGCUGGCGGCGUGCCUAAUACAUGCAAGUCGAGCGAAUGGAUUAAGAGCUUGCUCUUAUGAAGUUAGCGGCGGACGGGUGAGUAACACGUGGGUAACCUGCCCAUAAGACUGGGAUAACUCCGGGAAACCGGGGCUAAUACCGGAUAACAUUUUGAACUGCAUGGUUCGAAAUUGAAAGGC
rnacentral:rRNA from 1 species